CAGUCUGAGUCAUUUUCUCCUUGUUGUUUUCCAGAGCCUGCUGUUUCUUCAUACAGCUUUCAGGUGGUGAAGGUCAGAAGGCGAGCAAUACCAUCAUCUUUCUUUGGUUUAGGACUCCUCAUACGUUAAGAUUGCACCAGACCACUGGGUGUCCAUUGCUAUGGCCAGAGCAGGCCCAGCAAAACACAUCUAAAUACAGUCUGUUGCUACCAGUUUCCAACCUUCGGAUUUUGAAGGCCCUUUCUCCUUCCAGUGCCCUCUACUCUACGAGCCCAAGAAUCAUUGUCUUCACUGCACAUGAGAGGCUCACCCUCAAGACCAGAAAUGAAGUCCUGCCCCCACUUCCAGGCCAUUCAUCAAAGAUCCUAGAAUAGGAACAGAGUUCAGAAAUAUAUCUGGUUUCCUGCCUUUGGAAAGGAACGGCACUGUUCCUGGUUAAAACGGCAGCACAGGAGUUAGACUGCCUGCCUUUGACUCCAUUCCAGUCUGGCUGUGAGACAUUGGACCAUGGUUUGGCCGUGGGUAAUGGAAACCAAGGAACGUGGAAUCGUGCAUAAGGGGUAGAGUUUACACUUGCGUGCUGAAGUGACUAUGAAGCGUGUAUUAAGAUGGAGCUUCCUUGUUACUUUGAGUGACUACAAGGAGCAGAAACCCACUGCCAAGCCAUUUAGAUAUGUAAGCAUGAGUGAGAAAUAAAAUUUUGGUAGGAGCUCCUUUUUUCUUUCUGCUGCAUAGAACUCCAUUGUGUAUAUGUACCAUAAUUUUUUUCCAUUCAUUUACUCCUACCCUUUGCAACAGCUUGGAUGGAAUUGGAAAGCAUUAUGCUGAAUGAAAUUAGCCAGGCAUUGAAAGACAAAUACCAUAUGAUCUCACCUUUAACAGGAAGCUAAACAACAAAACAAAACAAGCAAGCAAAAUAAAAACAAUGGCACUGAAAUGGAGAA